rnacentral:lncRNA from 10 species
CAAUAAGUGAAUAAGUAACAUCACUGUGAUCCUGGGUCCAGGUUCAACUUACGUCUCUGGAGGCUAAAGAAUGAAAGUUGAACUAUACUGUAAGAAAAUCUGCUCCAUCAUCAGCAAGGCUAUUUAACGUUUUUCAAAAAAUAGCCAUGUCAACUCAAAGUACAGUAUUGCUAUUCCAGUAAUCUUUGGUUCAUUCUCAAUGGGUCUCCAAAGAACUUUACAGAUAUUAAUCAGAUAAUCUUCCCUGUUUCCUUAAGAGUCAGAUGAGGGAGUGAGCAGCCUAAUCCCAUAAAAACAGAAAACCAAGGAAAUGCCGGUCGCUGAGAUGCAGCUGGAGGCAGAGCCAAUAACCCAACUCUUGGCCCCUGGCAGAUGGAAAAGAUGCAUUCUGCUUCCAGGACUCCACCAAAACCCUCCUGGGUGCAUUCCUCAUCCCCGUUCCCAUCCACCCUGGGCAGGACUUGAAGUUGCCAGAGCAGUAGCAGUCAAGUCUCAUUGCCAAGGGCCAGUGUCAUCACUCAGCAUUGACGGUCUCACCAACAUUCAGGCCUCCGAGCUUCGUUUCUGCUGAUACCCUCACCUGGAAUGCUCUUCCCAAUCCUCCUCAGCUCCCCCAGUAACGUCAUUCACCAGCCUCAGCAUCCAGGUCCUCCCUCUCCUCCUCUGCCUCCUGCAGACCCUCUUUAUUAGCGCUUGGGAACUUGACAAUGUGCAUACCUUAACAGAGCCCUUUGACCUCCUGGGAAACGAAAACAGGCAACAAACUGUAAACACAGAAUAAGACCAUAUCAAAUACAGAGAAGUGCUAUGAAGAAAACAAAACAGGCUCAUUGACCAGGGAAGGAGUGGGAGUAUUUAUUUAGACCACAUAGCCUUGGAGGAGGUGAUGUUUGAGUUGAGACUUGAGUGAGGAGAUGGAUCCAGCCCUGCAAAGGUCUGAGAAAAAGUGUAUCUGACGGGAGGUGGAGGUUGUUCAAAGGCCCUGGGGUAGAAAUAACUUGGCAUUGGAGGAAAGGGAGAAAAAAGCCAUCUGAUGGGGGAGGAGGUGCGUGAGGGGUGAGUGGAUCAAGGCGAGAGGGUUUAUUCAGGACUGCAUGGGAGCUGAUGACAGGGAGGUUCCACGCCAAUUGCUUUCUGUUGGUGGAGUGAGGAUCAGACAAAUGCCUCGUGCGCUGGGUCCUGUUACGUUGCAGUAGUGAGGACGUCACUUGCAAGAAGCAUUUGGUCCUUUCUUCCCCAGUCCCCAGUUAAGCUCUCCUGGCUGGGCCUUUUGUCAAGUAUUCUGUGGGCUGCACUGGGCUCUUUAGUUGGGUAGCAAUUAUUAAUAGUUCCUGUUCAGAGCACUCUGCAAGAGAGUGGCAGAUUGAGAAGGCAACGUGUAGCUUGAAGCUCUUCCAGACCUCCAGGACUACUGGUAGGAGACAAUGGCAGAGCCCGUCAUCAUAAUUUCUUUCCUCCUGGCUCCUUAGAUCUAGAAAACCAACCUUGCAUUAUUUUACACAAAUUAGACGAUCAAGGCAAAGUCUCUGAGUGACUGAAAAUGCAUUUGCAAUGACAAGAGAGGUGAGAAAGUGCAGGAGUUCAUGGGGUGGAGGUGACUAUUUCACAGUUCUGUUUCCAAUCCAUUAGCCCUGGGCUUUGAGGGAUCUGAUAAAGGGGUGGAAUUGGCCAAUUUCCUUCCUCUUAAUAAUUAGAACAGCCUUAACAAAGAAUGCUUGCUGAACACACACCGAGAGCCAGGCACAGAAUGUUCAGCAGUUUACCUGGGAAACUUGUUCAGUCUUCACAACUGCUCACUUUUCAGAUGAAGCUCAGAGACAGUAAGGAAUCUGGUCACUGUCAUAUCACUGGCCAGUGGCAGGUCCAACGUUUAAACCCAGUCUGAAUCUAGAUUUUAAGGCCUGACACACUGUGUGUCCUGCCUCUAAGUGGCUAUUACCGUUCCUUAUCUAUUCCUGGUUGCCAGACACUCACUGAAGCAUGGGCUGAAGCACUUUGAGCUUCUUCCAUGCCUGGCAGCUGCUCUGAGGCUGAGCCUGUCUGUGCAGAGCUGCUGUCCCUGGAGGUGCUGACCUGCACUGUCAGAAGGAAAGCCAGAGUGGAAGGCAAAUCCAGGAUUGGCAGAGCCGGGACAAGCCCUUUGUAUGUUCCCCUUGGGAAAAAAACAUGAGGAUAUUGCAUUUUUUAAUAAAUGAGUUUAGCCAAGCCUCUUUUUUUACUCCAUAUCCAGGAAUACCCAAAGUUCUCUAGAUGCUUCUUGACUGCAGAAGGGGAAAUUUCCCAGACGUUUUCUGAAAGUUGACUCUGUCUGUCAUGUGACGUGCUCCUCAAGGCUGAGCAUUUGGUUUGCAGGCAGUGGGGACCAGCUAGGGACAACUUCACGGGUGCAUUUUCGCAUGCAAUGACAGAGCUGAAGUGGUCAGCAAAAUUAGCUUAAAAUAAGAGCACGAUGCUACAACAAGGGGCAACCUUGAUGAAGGCAGUUUGCCCCGCACAGUUCCAUGGGUUGGCUAUCCCUGUGAAAAUGUGCAUCCCCCAGAGGCUGACCUAGCAUGGCAGGCCUGGGACACUGAUGUGGGUCAGUGUAGUGGGUUGAAUCAUGGCCCCCAAAAAGAUAUGGCCAAGUUCUAACCUGUGACUGUGACCUUAUUUAGAAAAAGUGUCUUUACAGAUGUCAUUAAGUUAAGGAUCUUGAGAUGAAAUCAUCCUGGAUUUAGGGUGGGCCCUAAGUCCAAUGACAGGUAUCCUUAUUAAGAGAAAGUUGGGAGAGAUUUGAUGCACAGGGGAGAAGGCUGCCUGAAGAAGGAAGCAGAGACUGGAGUGAUGCAGCCACAAGCCAAUAAGCCUGGAGCCACCAGGAGCUGAAAGAGGCAAACAGGGAUUAUUCCCUAGAACCUUCAGAGGAAGUGUGACCUUUCUGAUACCUUGAUUCCCAACUGUUGACUUCCAGAACUGUGAGAGAAUGAAUUUCUGUUGUUUUAAGUCACUCAAUUUGUGGUCAUUUGUUACAGUAGCCCCAGAAAACUAAUAAAGAGAGCACUGCUCUUGUCUUGGGCCUGUU